AGCAUGCUCCUUAGAUCCACCAAAUGGGGCUUUUGGGCCCACCAACUUUACCGGUUGGACAUCGUUGGUGAAUGAGUCAUAAGCAUGCAAGACAAUGCACCUCCUUCUGCCAGCUGCACCGCCCCCAGCCACAUUUUGCCUCUUUUUGGCGCCGUGACCCAUACUGGGGGGGGAUGGCUGGUGCUGGGGACAAA